UGUCUCUUUGUCUGGCUUCCUUACAGCGGGUGACUGAUUGUCCCUGCCAGCUGGCUAAUAUCAUAAUUAGCAAAGUUGCUACCACAUCUGCAAAGUUUAAUCGAAAAAUUUACCAGUGGUACGAUGGCAUUGUCACCGCGAUCCUGAGGGGAUCAGAGUCUACUUCUGCUUCAGGUGGAACGACAAGGCUGUAGAGCUGAGAUGAGAAACUGUAAACUUGCUCAGCCAAAGGAAAUAAUAUGCUCCAGAGAAUCCUCUAAUUCACCGAAAAUGGACUUGGAUAACAUUUGGGUUUUCAUACUACCACAGUCCUCUUGAGAAGGACAGCCAGGAGGCUAAUAAUGAAGGGGCCAGGGAAGGAGGCCAAUGCUACAGGGUUAUCUCCUAACCUCAGAUGUUGGAUAAGUCCACGGAAACAGCAGCGCUUCUGGAUGGCUUCAGAAAGGCUGGAGUGAUUGUUUGGAAGAGAAAAACCCGCCUAUUCAUUCAAAGGUACAUGAAUGUUGUCGAGACUGUCCCAUCUGAAGGUUCAUCCUUAGAAUCCUGCCUUAGACAAAGGAAGCGCUUGGAGCCCCACCACACCCAAAACCACGCUUUGAAGGAUCUGCCAAGCUCACUUUUAAUCAUGAGAAAGAAAUUACCCACAUGGAGACAGCAGAAAAUGAGAAAGUAGAGAUCGUGCUGCGAAUAAUUCCAGCGAGUGCCAAGGGGCUAGUUGAGGAAUGGCUUCAUGAGAUGUUAGUCUAUCUAGAACAACAAAUUUGGAUCUAAGCUGGACCUUUGAGAAAGAAAAGACUUCGAGGAAAAACACCUUUCCAUAUGUUUUAAUUACCUUCCACCUGAAUUGUUUAAUGCACACUAUCCAACUAUAUUCAUCUUUCUUGCUUCCUGUGUAUUUCUUCUUUUGCUUGAACUGCUCUAGAAUUGACCCUUGAGCUACACAGUCAUUCUGGAUUUUUUAAAAAGAGAAUUCUAAUAAAAACUUAUAUAUGUUGUUAA
rnacentral:lncRNA from 1 species